rnacentral:rRNA from 1 species
CCUACGGGAGGCAGCAGUGGGGAAUCUUGCGCAAUGGGCGAAAGCCUGACGCAGCAACGCCGCGUGCGGGAAGAAGGCUUUCGGGCUGUAAACCGCUUUCAGCAGGAACGAAAAUGACGGUACCUGCAGAAGAAGGAGCGGCCAACUAUGUGCCAGCAGCCGCGGUGAUACAUAGGCUUCAAGCGUUGUCCGGAUUUAUUGGGCGUAAAGAGUUCGUAGGCGGUCGAGUAAGUCGGGUGUGAAAAUUCUGGGCUCAACCCAGAGACGCCACCCGAUACUGCUUGACUUGAGUUCGAUAGGGGAGUGGGGAAUUCCUAGUGUAGCGGUGAAAUGCGCAGAUAUUAGGAGGAACACCGGUGGCGAAGGCGCCACUCUGGAUCGAUACUGACGCUGAGGAACGAAAGCAUGGGUAGCAAACAGGAUUAGAUACCCUGGUAGUCCAUGCCGUAAACGGUGGGCACUAGGUGUGGGUUUCUAUUAACGAAAUCCGCGCCGUCGCUAACGCAUUAAGUGCCCCGCCUGGGGAGUACGGUCGCAAGACUAAAACUCAAAAGUAGUAAGUGACCGNGUAGACGAGUCGACGACGCACCAGGAGGUAGG